CAGCAGAUUCACUGCAAUAUGUCAUUCUUUAUGCACCAUGAGAGAUAUAUGAGCACACGAGCUUAUGAAGGGUGGGGAAGUCUGAAUAACUGACCAGUUUUGCACCUCAUGUGCUGGAGAAGGAGAGAAAGAAUUGGAAGUUCACAUAGACUAUUGCUUCCAAACCCUCCAGACCUCAGGUCCACUGUGAACUCCACUCCAAUAAAUACGAACAUUACAAGACUCAUGUCUUAAAAUUUAUUUCCAAGGAAGUGUCUCAUUUUAUUGCAACAUGAAUAAGAGACUCUAAGGCAAUAUUUAGUUUGUUUUAUGUUUCAUAAAAAAAAAAAAAAAAAAAAAAAAGACUGUAAUUUCAUGGAGGCUCUAACAGAAAUUCCUCUUUCCAUCCAAGCGGAAGAAAUCAUGUUCAGGACCUUUCCCUGAGGGCUCGAGGAAAGCACAUUAACAUGGAAACUCCCACUUUGCUUUAUUUGUGAGUUACUCUUCCAGUAGGAUGAGGCUGGAAUUGAGGGAAGCUAUAACUGCACUAACUGGCCAAAGCCUGUGACAUUAAGGGGUAGGCAAGGAUGCUGAGAGGAUAAUCCCAAAGAUGCAGCUCUCCAGUUGAUGAAAAUCAGAAGAGACAGAUAAUCACUGGAGAGAUUCCCACCUAGAAAGAAGCUAAUUGCAUGGGCUUUAAGUAGAAGGGUGUAGUUACUCUAGUUCUGCCUGUCACUUCUGUCAUUGCUGGCUUUCGCAGCACUGUCUUUUAAGAUGCUGGAGGAGGGGUCAAGGCCCCUUUUAAUGAAGUGAAAGUUUGAGUGGGAGGCCUGUCCAGAUCAGCAGUGGAAAGAGAAAAACCACAUGCAGAAAGCCCCAUGCAUGGGGAAACCAGAGUUGCAGCCUGUUCCAGACGCAGGAGCUGCUGAAGCACAGAUGUCUUCAGGAAAUCUCCACGGUGAGCCCCAAAGAGUUUUGACCAGGUGAGAAUGUCAGUCCACGCCAGCGCCUGGUUCUGCCACACACCAACCAGCAAGGACAUCCCGACAGCGCCUGGUCCCCGGGACCACUUGCCGGAGGACAGUGCAGGCAUCUGACUGCCUUUUAAAAAAAGAAACCUCUUCAGUCUUUUUUAAGUUGUAAAAGGGAAGAAUAUGAGACUCUUCCCAAAUUCUUGAAACUGGCAUCCGUACCUCUGGGAACAAAGAAGGACUCUGCUGCGGCUGCAUUUAGGGGAAAGUGGAUAACUUUAAAUGACCAGGACCUCCAAACCACAGUCGGUACCUUGACCACACUCCGAGCAAGGAGUCGCACCAGGCUCCCUGUUUGUGCCAGGCUUUCGUGACACAGGGGACAGGCUGGGCUAUCUGAAAUCAGGUUUGUUUGAAGGUCUAUUCUGAGCUCAGCUCAGUUCCCUCUCAGAAAACAGAUGCAAAGAAAGACAACCUGAUGCUGCUGAUGGUGGGAGGUGUGGAGGAAGAGUCAGCACAGACCUUUGCUGUGGGAUGUCACACGUGAGUCCGAGCCGGGUCACAGCUGCAGACAUUCAUCCCCCUGCUCCUGACUCGCUGCCGUCCAACAGCACCACGGAGGUUUCACUGUUUCUGGAAGUGCUGCUGUUUGGAAAAAAACAUGAUUUACCCUGCAGUGUAUAAGCUCACACUGCCAAAAGGGUCACCACUGUUUUGUGUAGACCUCAAGAGGAAAACAUGAGUUAGUUUGUUCCGCCAAAAUAAGGUUUUCUUUUAGAAACAGGAGUGCUAUUUUUUUCUCAUGCAGUCUGAGGUAUAAUAUUGAGUUCCAGUUUCCCUUAAGAGUUCAACUUCAUCAUCCUCCUACUAGCAUGGUUUUAUUUUAGUUACCAAAUAUUUGAGGUUAAAGUGAAUAGUUCAUCUUUAAUGGGAUUAUCUCUUUCAAUGUUUGCUUUCAUUACAGUUCGAAUUGCUCUGAGCAUGAGAAUCUAACCUCACCAAAAGCAUAUUUUUGUAAUUUGAUACAAACUAAAUUUAACCUUUGACUCUCAUCUAUAAAGACGUUACUUUUUUCCACCAAAAAGCAGAAUGUUAGAUUAAAGAUCUGCCAGUUUCAAUUUCCAGGUUGCUAACCUUCCUGUGAUUGGGUCCUGAAAUGUGGAAAGCUCUGUAUUUAGUAAAGGUAUUUAAUAUUAAUAGUAACAGUCAAGAUGGUCUUAUACCUGCUGCUUACAAUAGCUAAAUGGAGGUUCUCUGCUGGCUUUUAAAAUAGAGAAUAAUUUUCUUGACCCACACCGUGCAGUACAGUAGAACUCUUUGGACAGAGAUAUUUAAAAUAAAAUCUUCCCUUUGAGAUACUUAAACAGUUUAUCGCAGUUCUUUUGUUAAACAAAUAAUUCUCAUGCGAGUGCUUUGGAAUAUUAAGCCUGUGCUUAGGAAAAGAAAGAUUCAUGUUCUCUCUCCUGACGGCUUUAAAUGUGAUACAGAAAGGGAAAUGGAUUCUCUGUAUUAGUCUAUAUUUUCCCCAGUAAAUCAUCAGGAAAAUUGGAGAGAAGGGAUUGCUUUUUAGAAAAAAAAAGAUAUUUUUGUUCUCUGCCGGAAGAAUCCUUCUAAAUACGUGAAGUUUUUCACUUCUACUUUUAUAAGAUGAAGUGUUGAAACUUUCAGUGAAAAAUCUUUCCAGAUAUUUGUUGGGAAUUUAAUUUAAAAAAUAAACAAAGCACCACAAUUAAGCAUGAAUGAAAAAUUACUAUGUCUCCUGUUCUGCAAAAGAUAGAUCGAAAGUGGAUCGACUGUCAGAGCUCUGGUGAAGUCUGAGAUAUUUCUUCCCUGCAUUUCUGCAGUAACGAAGUAAAGGGGGAAACGGCUCAUCGCAGGCGUCAGGACAUGAAGGAGAACGUGGGCGCGUGUAUUUAUUUAACCCAGGAAAAUUCACUAUGAAUUCUACAAAAUCCUUCCACUGGAUACAGUUCCUAUGACUCUAUUUUUGUACAAUUCAUAGAAAAGCCUUUGUGUUCAAUUACUUACUCAGGCUCCAUAUGGAAGACGGAUUUAGAUAUAAAAAUUAUACUCUGUAAAAUCUGUCCAUUCUGUACAGGGAAGCAAGCAAGAAAAAAAGAAACCCACCUUAUAUUUCAGCUCUGCAGUCAUCAGAGAAGAACACUGCAACCAAAAUUCAAAUUUUAGUUUGAACACAUACUGCGCUAAUAAAUGGUCAGCUUAGAAGCAUUUCCUGUUUAUACACUGUGUUAAUAAGCAUCCAUCACCCAUGUCACAUAUACGGGAUACCAAAUUCAAAUGUCAAACAAAAUGUAAGAGGUCACACAUUUUCCUUUGCUAACUAAAAGUGUAAUUCAUAAAUAUUAUUGCUACCAAACUCUCCAUCUACAGCACUUGUUUAGAAAUAUGCACAUGUAAUAUAAAUUGUGAUUAAGUUAAAUGGGUAUAUUAUUUCCUGUUUUAAGGGUGAACAGCAGCAUGAAUUAUGUUUUACUCAAUAGGCAUUUCAAUAAAAACCUAUAGAGUAACAAGCUGCUAUCAUAUAGUUCAGCUGCGCAGACUAACGUAGAAAGGGUCUUAUGAUCCACCACUGAUAUUUAAGCUGUUCCUGUGUCUGUUAUUUCUGCUGAUGCAUAGAAAAAUAUUUCCCUAGUUCAGUACCCCUUUCUAUUUUUCGAUAUAAAAAUAAAGUCUGCAGGGGG